rnacentral:rRNA from 1 species
CUAAGAAUCUUGCGCAAUGGGCGAAAGCCUGACGCAGCAAUUCCGCGUGGGGGACGAAGGCCCUCGGGUCGUAAACCCCUUUUGCGAGGGAAGAAGUUCUGACGGUACCUCGCGAAUAAGACACGGCUAACUACGUGCCAGCAGCCGCGGUAAUACGUAGGUGUCGAGCGUUGUCCGGAUUUAUUGGGCGUAAAGAGCCCGCAGGCGGCUUGCCAAGUUCGAGGUGAAAUCUCCCGGCUCAACCGGGAGGGUGCCUCGAAAACUGGCAGGCUUGAGGCAGGGCGAGGGAUGUGGAAUUCCCGGUGUAGUGGUGAAAUGCGUAGAUAUCGGGAGGAACACCAGUGGCGAAGGCGGCAUCCUGGCCCUGUCCUGACGCUCAGGGGCGAAAGCGUGGGGAGCAA